UACGGAGGGUGCAAGCGUUAUCCGGAUUCACUGGGUUUAAAGGGUCCGUAGGCGGUUUUGUAAGUCAGUGGUGAAAGCCCAUCGCUCAACGGUGGAACGGCCAUUGAUACUGCAAGACUUGAAUUAUUAGGAAGUAACUAGAAUAUGUAGUGUAGCGGUGAAAUGCUUAGAGAUUACAUGGAAUACCAAUUGCGAAGGCAGGUUACUACUAAUAUAUUGACGCUGAUGGACGAAAGCGUGGGGAGCGAACAGG
rnacentral:rRNA from 1 species